GCUGCGGUGUCCGAGUGGUUAAGGAUAUGGAGUUGAAAUCCAUUGGGCUUUGCCCGCACAGGUUCGAAUCCUGUCCGCAGCG
rnacentral:tRNA from 1 species